AGUGAACGCUGGCGGUAGGCCUAACACAUGCAAGUCGAACGGCAGCACAGUAAGAGCUUGCUCUUACGGGUGGCGAGUGGCGGACGGGUGAGGAAUACAUCGGAAUCUACUUUUUCUUGGGGGAUAACGUAGGAAAACUUACGCUAAUACCGCAUACGACCUACGGGUGAAAGCAGGGGAUCUUCGGACCUUUCGCGAUUGAUUGAGCCGAUGUCGGAUUAGCUAGUUGGCGGGGUAAAGUCCCACCAAGGCGACGAUCCGUAGCUGGUCUGAGAGGAUGAUCAGCCACACUGGAACUGAGACACGGUCCAGACUCCUACGGGAGGCAGCAGUGGGGAAUAUUGGACAAUGGGCGCAAGCCUGAUCCAGCCAUACCGCGUGGGUGAAGAAGGCCUUCGGGUUGUAAAGCCCUUUUGUUGGGAAAGAAAAGCAGCAGGUUAAUACCCCGCUGUUCUGACGGUACCCAAAGAAUAAGCACCGGCUAACUUCGUG
rnacentral:rRNA from 1 species